GACGAACGCUGGCGGCGUGCUUAACACAUGCAAGUCGAACGGAAAGGCCCUGCUUUUGUGGGGUGCUCGAGUGGCGAACGGGUGAGUAACACGUGAGUAACCUGCCCUUGACUUUGGGAUAACUUCAGGAAACUGGGGCUAAUACCGGAUAGGAGCUCCUGCUGCAUGGUGGGGGUUGGAAAGUUUCGGCGGUUGGGGAUGGACUCGCGGCUUAUCAGCUUGUUGGUGGGGUAGUGGCUUACCAAGGCUUUGACGGGUAGCCGGCCUGAGAGGGUGACCGGCGACAAUGCGACUGAGAUACGGCGCAGACUGCUACGGGAGGCAGCAGUGGGGAAUAUUGCACAAUGGGGCGACGCGUGAUGCAGCAACGUCGCGUGCGGGAUGACGGCCUUCGGGUUGUAAACCGCUUUCGCCUGUGACGAAGCGUGAGUGACGGUACUGGGUAAAGAAGCACCGGCUAACUACGUG
rnacentral:rRNA from 1 species